rnacentral:lncRNA from 1 species
CACUGUGAGCGCCGCGUGCAGGCUUCUGUGCGGAUGCGCACGCAGAGUGUGGGGUGGACUUCCAGGCGUGCGUUGAACUUCCAGGCGUGUGGUGAUGGCGCGUGGAUGGGGUCAGCCUGCUGCGCCCCUUCCACCGCCCUGCCCACCCGAGCCCGGGCUGCACACUGUCAUCCGAAACUGCGCCCUCAGGAUUUGUUAGCUGGCCGCUCGGAAACUUGCUUCAAAAAAAAAAAUCCUGCAAGAUGGGCUCUGGGCCUGCCCUUCUCACCUGUAAAUUGCACUUUCCUGAGCCCUAAAGGCAGCCAGCAGCAAUGUUGGGGGAAAGUGGAUCUCAGUGUCCAACAUGUGUGGAUGGCUGUAUCGCAUCCUGAUCCAGCCUGGCAGACGGGCAGACGGGUGACAGCAGGAACACACACCCCAAGUCUCGAAGGCCCCCAAGGCCCCCAGAUAUCCCCAGCUCCGGCUCAUAAUGCACCUUUCUCUGAACCCCCACAUCCUGCUGUUGUGUGUGUCCUGAAAUCUCUGUUUUAAUAAACCCUUCCUGGGCCUCCUACUGACCCGUCCUGAAAGUUAUUUUUCCGCAAUGGGUGUCAGUGAACCUGGAGACUUCUCUGCAAGAGUGGGAUGGCUUCUUUGUUUCAGCCUUGGGGACCGCUCAGGCCCAGCCUGUAACCAGUCAGAAUGGACCUCUUCGCUUUCAGUUGCUGAGGUCCAGGAUUUUGUCCCAGCAAGAGGAAAGUGGAGCCAUGCACCUUCUGCACUCUAUCCCUCGGUUCGGG